GACGAACGCUGGCGGCGUGCUUAACACAUGCAAGUCGAACGGAAAGGCCCUGCUUGCAGGUUGCUCGAGUGGCGAACGGGUGAGUAACGCCUGGGUGUUCUGCCGGUCGCGUCGGGUUACGCCUGGGAAACUGGGUCUAUUACCCGUUAGUCGCGAGGGUUAGUGUGGUGGUUGUUAAGAUCUUUUGCGUGUAGGUUGAGCUCGCGGCCUAUCAGCUUUUUGGGGGGGUAAUGGCCUACCAAGGCGGCGACGGGUAGACGUCCAGAGAGGGUGUACGGCCACACUGGGACUGAGAGACGGCACAGACUGCUAAGGGAGGCAGAAGUGGGGAAGAUUGAACCAUGGGCGCAAGCCUGAUGAAGAGAGGCCGCGGGGGGGAUGGCGGCCUACGGGUUGUAAACGCCUUUCGAUAGGGAAGAAGCUUGUUGUGACGGUACCUAGAUAAGAAGCACCGGCUAACUACGUG
rnacentral:rRNA from 1 species